rnacentral:rRNA from 1 species
AUUGAACGCUGGCGGCAGGCCUAACACAUGCAAGUCGAACGAGAGGCGGACGGGUGAAUGGUGUCUUGGCAACUGGCUGAUCGAGGGGGAUAAGUGCUGGAAACGGUAGCUAAUACCGCAUAACAUCAUAUGUGGCGUGGUGGGAUUAGCUUGUUGGUGGGGUAACGGCUGACCAAGGCGACGAUGCCUAGCUGGGCUGAGAGGAUGACCAGCCACACUGGAACUGAGACACGGCCCAGACUCCUACGGGAGGCAGCAGUGGGGAAUAUUGCACAAUGGGCGAAAGCCUGAUGGAGCCAUGCCGCGUGUAUGAAGAAGGCCUUCGGGUUGUAAAGUACUUUCAGCGGGGAGGCGUUACCCAAAGAAGAAGCACCGGCUAACUCCGUGCCAGCAGCCGCGGUAAUAC